GAUGAACGCUGGCGGCGUGCCUAAUACAUGCAAGUCGAGCGAACAGACGAGGAGCUUGCUCCUCUGACGUUAGCGGCGGACGGGUGAGUAACACGUGGAUAACCUACCUAUAAGACUGGGAUAACUUCGGGAAACCGGAGCUAAUACCGGAUAAUAUAUUGAACCGCAUGGUUCAAUAGUGAAAGACGGUUUUGCUGUCACUUAUAGAUGGAUCCGCGCCGCAUUAGCUAGUUGGUAAGGUAACGGCUUACCAAGGCAACGAUGCGUAGCCGACCUGAGAGGGUGAUCGGCCACACUGGAACUGAGACACGGUCCAGACUCCUACGGAAGGCAGCAGUAGGUAAUCUUCCGCAAGCUGCAAAAGCUUGACGGAGCAACGCCGCGUGAGUGAUGAAGGUCUUCGGAUCGUAAAACUCUGUUAUUAGGGAAGAACAAAUGUGUAAGUAACUAUGCACGUCGUGACGGUACCUAAUCAGAAAGACACGGCUAACUA
rnacentral:rRNA from 1 species